UACGAGGGGGGCAAAUGUUGUUCGGCAUCACUGGGCGUAAAGGGAGCGUCGGCGGGUUCUUAAGUUAGGUGUUUAAUCCCGGGGCCCAACCCCGGACCGGCACUUAAAACUGGGAAUCUUGAAUAGUGGAGAGGUCGGUGGAAUUGGAGGUGUAGCGGUGGAAUGCGUAGAGAUCUCCAAGAACACCAGUUGCGAAGGCGGCCGACUGGACACAUAUUGACGCUGAGGCUCGAAAGCAUGGGGAGCAAACAGG
rnacentral:rRNA from 1 species